AAACUUUGUUUAUUCCCCACACUGAACAAGUUCCUGCAGACACUAUCUUUAAUUUCCACGAAUUGCUUCCACUGGUAUUAACUAAACUAUGCAUAAAUAAGCUGAACUCAAGAACAGCACAGCAAAUCAAACAAAAUAGUACAGGGUGAGGUUAAUACGAAUAUUACAAACAAAUAAACCUCAAACUGUUACACCUGAAUUGAAUCUCUCUCAACAAUAGUAAGGGCAAAGACAUUCGUGGGUGCUGUUGAUUUCAUUAGGGGGUAACAAUGAACAAACGGUAAACAUCACCACCAAGAAAAGGUUCAAAGUAACAAUUAAUUCUUCCAGUACUCAGACCUCUUUUUCCCAAUUUCAAAUUCACACUUUGGAGAUUGGGACACAAGAACAGCCUGUAGAAAAGUAGUCAGAACUGUUUGGAUUUAGAAUUGGCUAUCAGCAGCAAUUAUAUUGUGACUCCCAUGACCUGAAUCCUGAAAUGAUCAACAUAAGAUGACAUAAUUUUCAUUACUGUACUGAUUUUAUCAUGUAUCUCAAAAUGCGUACUGGCUGUAGGCAUAUACAGUGAUGUGCAUUUCCUAUUUUUUUUUUUUUUAUAUUUUACAAUAAUACAAUUCAGUCUAAGGUUUCUGGUGUACUGUGUUUUAAUAUUAAUUACAUAGAUUUUUUUGAUUUUUUCAGAAAGAGACAUGAAGCUGCCAUUUUCAAUAAGAGGAAACUUUUAAUGCAUGAUUAAUUAAAAUGUGAAUGAAUUAUCAUUGAAGUAAAAUUAAAUGAUACUGUAUUAGAUAGAUCAGAUACUAAUAUUGUAAAUAAGAAGUAGCAAAGGGAAUGCAAGAGGGUUUACUGGGUAAACCAUAAAGCAAAUGAUGAUUACUGUGGGAUACAAGUAAUGUACAACUGAACCUGAAUGUGUCAACAAACAUUGAUAGUUCUUGUGACAAUAGUAUAAAAUUUCCACACUCACAUCCAUUCAUUCACUAUGUUCUAUAGACACCAUCAAAUCAAGUUUCAAAGGAAUGAAUAAAGUUCUACACCAGUAAAGUUACAUUGCUUCCAGAAAAUAAGUGUGUGUGUGUGUGUGUGUGUGUGUGUGUGUGUGUGUGUGUGUGUGUGUGUUUUACAAUAAUAUUACUGCUGUUUAAAUAUUCACAUCAUCUCAGCUGAAGGCACAAAGUAGGUAACCUUGACAGAAGAGUACUUCUUUGGCACCAUUUCUCAUUGUACAGUGCACGGAAGACUCUUAAUGGGCUAUGCAUUAAACUGCUAUACAUGAGGCAGCAUUAGAGCAUCUAAGGAAACUAUUCCUUCAGAAGAAAUGGCAGUCAUCAGACUGCAACAUAUGUAACAUUUUAUACAAUUGUGUUCGUUUCUGUAGUUCAAGAUGUCGCAUUAGUGCUUCAUAAAUGUAUGCAUGCAUGCAUGCAUAUUACCAUCAGUAACAGCAAAUCACUUUAUUCACACCAUAUGUUACAUAUAUUUAUGUUCAUGUCUUGAUUAAAUGCCAAAAUCUAUAAUGUUUCCAAUAAUUAUUGUCAGAGUUCUUCAGCUUUAAUGUAGCAUUAGUGAAUAUAUAUUUGGUAAUUCAGUGAUUAAAAAAAAGCCUCAUAAAACACUUCUCUUUCAAAAAUAAAACAAAGGGUUCUGAACCCUUGUUGCCAUCUCUUGAAAUUGACUAUUACUAGCAAAUAAUUUGAAACAGCGCCCAAUAUGGAUUCUGUUUAAAAUACACCAAUUAGCAACAACAUACCUUAUUACAAAUGUUGAUUUAUCACUGAACUGUCUUAUGGUGUCUUAAGAUGUUUCUGUUGUGUGUAAAAAUGAAGUACAUAUAAUAUGAAAAUAAAUCACUAUUUAUUGCGUUCAAUGUAUUCUCUACAACAGUAGAACAAAAACAGAUGCAGUGACUCCAAUAAAAAUAAACAUUAUGAAAUCUUAACAAGAUUUAUAAAAUAUUAGAAACAUCAUCUAUGUGUCUCUAUUGUUUUAAAUUCACAAGAGAAUCUCCAAAAUUACUACUACUAGUUACCACUAAUUAUGGCAAGAAAAUUUUUGACUCAGUUUAUAUUGAAAAUGGCAUAAAUAUGUCUCUCAAUCCAGAUCUAAGUUAGCAACAAGAAAAUAUUUUCAAAAAUGUACAGUUCCUCACACAUUUUGACCAACAAAAUAUACCAAAACUACUUAAGAUUUCUUGCUUUUGCAAACAAUCACAAAGCAAUUCAGAUAAUGAAUCACAGCAAAACUAUCACAGUCAUUAGGUUGAAAAAGAAGAAUAUUGAAAACAACAUACAUAACAGAGUAAACAAUCUGAGAGAUUCCAUAACAUCAGAAUAAUUUUUUUUUUUCAAGAAACCCAAGUAACUUAGCAGUUACAUCAUUAAUGCAAUUAGUCAUACUAGUUCACCUUACACAAUUUAUAGAGAAGCAGAAUCGCUAUCUGAAGGUGCAAAAUACAUCUCACUGAAAUAUGGGCUAAACUGAAAGUUACAGAAGCUUUGAAAUUGAUAAACCGUAGUACAAAGCCUUCUUUAAAAAAAAAAAAUGCUGCUUUCCACGUGUAAAAAAUAACAGGCAGUUAGGCUCAUAAAACAUCUAUUGUUUACAAACUUCAUUCCAAUUUUAACGAGAGAUUUCUUCUAUGCCAUGAUAUCAAACAGGCAAAGGUUCGACUACAUUUUAUACGUGAAUAUGUCAUGUUGUAUAAAAUACUGGUACUAAAUAUCUAUUUCUGAUAUCCACAUUCACCGGUAGAUACAGGUACAUGGCAGUGGAUUGCGAAUCUUCGGCGAUGUUCCACGUUAUAAGCAUUUGAUACUUUUUAUUGAGAACCGAGUUCCUUAUCACAAUAAAUACCUGAUUCUGAAUUCUUAAGUUCACUUGAGCAAACGCUUGAGUCACUCUACUAGAACUAGUAGGGGAAUGAAAUUUGGAAAUUUAGGGGAAUGAAAUUUGGAAAUAACACUUCAACAAGCGUGCAGUACUCUACUGCAUGGAGAUUAUAAGUUUGACGGCCCGCGGUUGUUACAAAUACCCCAAGUAGCAAAGUAAUACAAUUGCUACUUCGUAAAAAUGGGAAUUUCACCGUUUCAAAUAAGUUCUUCCCACAAAUUUGGAAGAAUUAGCAGAUGUCUGUCAUACGUAAGUUAUCUUCCCGUCCACAUAAUUAGUGAAACUGCUAUGCUUAUGGUAAACGAAACGUCAAAAGUGAUACAAACAUAAGAUAUCUUACCAAACCGUUAAAAGCAAUAAAACCGCUUAUUAAACUAAAAUAAAUAUUUCAUGAUACAUCUAAAUCCAUGUUUUGUGUGUGGAAUUACAGCGUAGCUUCUGAAGACUACAUGAGAAGUAUCACUGGCUCUGUAUAGUUAAAAUUACUUUCUACAGCAUCAAAGAAUUCUACAUUGCAUAUACUACGGUACAUUCUCAGCUCUGCUGCGGAACUUCACUAUUUUUAUUUUUAAGACUUAGUUGAUAGUUAACAGCCCGUGACAGUGAAUACAAACCAGUGGCUGCAACAAAUACAUUCACACUAAAAAGGCUCCAGUUCUUCGGUAUGAUUACUAAAGAAUACCGAGACCAUAUUAAUCCCGUGGCUGUUAGAGCUCCAGACUGUGAAAUACUUAUUUUAUCCGCUGGUCUCUUCAGGUCUCCAAGGCCAGCAAUGACAAGCCCCCAUUUGAAGACGGGGGACCAAAAAAAAAUUGUCUUGGGUCCAGCAGGAUGAUUCCAAAGUGGCUGAAGACUGGGUGGAACAAACUUGUCGGCAAAUGCAAUGGUUUUUCUGUAUAUCACAGACAUACUUCACAUCACCUUCGUCUCUCACAGCAGAACAGCCUACAAACCUUCGCCACACAACUACACUAGCGCGACCUUCGCGCUGUGAGGUAACAUGUGAAUAGCGCCUGGCGUUCGCAAAUGCCUACAAGGUCACGUGACGUUGCUUAACGCGGAACAGCUGAUUCGCGUGAUCAUCGCCAUUUUGGAAUGUGUUGUAGAACAGGAAAUUAAUUGCAAUUUGACGCGGAACGUUUAUGCAGCACAGUAUCAAAAAUAUAAAACCUUCAGAGAAGUUUCACUGAUCACAUUUUGGUGUCUUUGAUAUGGGACUGAAAAAGAAGUUUGGCAUCAUUGGUACAAUAUUCGUUGUACUUACCGUCUUCAUUUUUAAGGUGAUGUAAUUUUGAUGCAGAAUUGAACCUGAAAGCUUGAUAAAAUGUGGUCGCCACGGGAGAAAGCGCAGUCUGUGGGUUGGUUCAUACUGAUGACAUCCAAUGCCCAGUAUGCAAGCCAGCUGCCAUCCUGGCCGAAAUUACUUCAUUGUGGGAACUCACUGUAUGCCAAUAAUGGUAUUUCCACAUUCAAAGCACCCAAAAUGUUUAACUUAUGGAAUAAAAAUUAAUGUAUGUCUUUGUUAUAUCAUGUAAUCACAGUUGAAACAUUAAAAUUGCUUUUUCUUGAGUUCCAUAAAAA